rnacentral:rRNA from 1 species
UACGUAGGGUGCAAGCGUUAAUCGGAAUUACUGGGCGUAAAGCGUGCGCAGGCGGUUUUGUAAGUCUGAUGUGAAAUCCCCGGGCUCAACCUGGGAAUUGCAUUGGAGACUGCAAGGCUAGAAUCUGGCAGAGGGGGGUAGAAUUCCACGUGUAGCAGUGAAAUGCGUAGAGAUGUGGAGGAACACCGAUGGCGAAGGCAGCCCCCUGGGUUAAGAUUGACGCUCAUGCACGAAAGCGUGGGGAGCAAACAGG